UUCACAGGCUACCUAGUACCCUGUGCAGUUUUCAGAUUAGGCUUCAGGGAAUGGCAAGAGUGACAGAAGAGGUAACCACCCAUCCAGGAGAUGGCACUGCCAUUGCACUCAGCAAGGAGUCUGGUUUCUUUGCCUCCAUGCACUUGUUGAAUCAUGAUCUGACCCAGGAACCGUCCUCGGAGAUUUCUGCUUUGCUGUUCAUGAGCCACCAACUUCCCCAUCCUCUGCAACACGCUGCUCUAGAGAACAGCCUGCCUCCACUAUCUGAACCAUUGAUUUAUCUGAACCAUGGACAUAGCUUCGAUGUGGUGUAAUCUUGGUACCUGGCCAGAUGGGUGUAUUAACUAC
rnacentral:lncRNA from 1 species